rnacentral:lncRNA from 1 species
AUGCCCACCAGGGGCAGGGCUGUGCCCCUAGCCCCACAGGCCCCUGGUCGGCCCCGGCCUUGCCAGCCUCCCUGCUCCCCUGAGCCCCUGACGGGUCGGCCACCAUGCCGCUGCCCGCGCGACAGCCCUUCAGUACCCAGAUCCUGCCGGUUCCGUGGUGGAGCCCCAGGCCCUCCUGUCCUGCCUGGCUUGUUUCUUGGCCCCCGUCGUGUGGCUCCUGCUCAGGGGCACGUGGAACUGGCCUUUGGCAGCUCCUGCCCCACUGCAGUCCCUGCAGAGAGGGACAUGGAGCCGAAGGGCCCCCUCCUGCCUCCUGCCCUGGGUGCCCUACCAGGAAGUGCCAUGCCACUCGUAGGAUGCCACGGCCCUGCCCAUCUGGGCUUGGGUGACAGCUGUUGGGACACCCGCAUGCCCCAAAGUGCCACUGCCUCACCCAGAGCUAGGGGAGCACAGGCCCCCUGGGGUUUGGGAGGAUGGGGGCUGGGGCAGUUCACCUGUGACACUGGGCUGUGUGAGGGCCCAGCAGGCAGAGAGGCAGGCUCUGGGAGAGCCCUUGGACCACCUUCCUGCCCAGUCCCACCCAUGUCAGGGCCGAGGCUUGGGGGAGCCUGGGGGUGGGCCGCGGCCUGGCUCUGGGGGAGCGGGGAUGCCAACCACCCUCCACCUUCACCUUUCUGCGGGCAAAGGCAGACAUCCUGGCAGGGGUGCGGGCGGGUGGCUGGUGCACGGGCGGUACCCACGGAACCCGCACUUGCCAGCCUGGGCGCUGCAGCAUUGCCAGGCAGGUGGGGGGGCGCAGCGGGACCCUUGGGGACGGCCCGUGGGAAUGGGCGGUGGUGCGUGGAGGGCGCGGGUAGAGCGGGCGUGCAGGGCAGCGCUCCUUGGAUGGUCCCCGUUGCCGUGAACACCAUCCAGCCGGCUCUGUCUUACACAGGUGCGCCCAGCCCAGGGCCUCGGGGAGAAGGGGCCCAGGGGGCCCAGUGGAUGGCGGGCAGGGGCGUGGGUGUGCAUGUGUGUGGGGUGAGUGUGGGCUUGUGGAGGCCGGGUGAGCCCCCUCGGGGUCAAGGCCACCUGACCUGCUCCUGUCUACACAGCGUGAGUGGGGAGCUGGAGUGCCAGCUCCCUGUGUGGGCCUGA